rnacentral:misc_RNA from 1 species
GCCUAGCCCCGAUGGAACGGCAUGUUUGAGCUCUUUUCCAUUUUAGGGGUUGCGGCGGCUUCGCCGCCGCAACCCCUAAAAUGGAAAAAGCGAGUAGUGACAGCGGGAAAUAGC